rnacentral:rRNA from 1 species
GCGAGUGAGCGGCAAGAGCUCAAAUUUGAAAUCUGGCCCCUCCGGGGUCCGAGUUGUAAUUUGCAGAGGAUGCUUCGGGUGCGGCCCCUGUCUAAGUGCCCUGGAACGGGCCGUCAGAGAGGGUGAGAAUCCCGUCUUGGGCAGAGUGCCCGUGCCCGUGUGAAGCUCCUUCGACGAGUCGAGUUGUUUGGGAAUGCAGCUCAAAAUGGGUGGUAAAUUUCAUCUAAAGCUAAAUACCGGCCGGAGACCGAUAGCGCACAAGUAGAGUGAUCGAAAGAUGAAAAGCACUUUGAAAAGAGAGUUAAACAGCACGUGAAAUUGUUGAAAGGGAAGCGCUUGCAACCAGACUCGGCCUCGGGGUUCAGCCAGCAUUCGUGCUGGUGUACUUCCCCGGGGCCGGGCCAGCGUCGGUUUGGGCGGCCGGUCAAAGGCCCCAGGAAUGUAUCGUCCUCCGGGACGUCUUAUAGCCUGGGGUGCAAUGCGGCCAGCCUGGACCGAGGAACGCGCUUCGGCACGGACGCUGGCGUAAUGGUCGCAAACGACCCGUCUUGA